rnacentral:rRNA from 1 species
GUAGGGAAUCUUCCGCAAUGGGCGAAAGCCUGACGGAGCAACGCCGCGUGAGUGAUGAAGGUCUUCGGAUCGUAAAACUCUGUUAUUAGGGAAGAACAUAUGUGUAAGUAACUGUGCACAUCUUGACGGUACCUAAUCAGAAAGCCACGGCUAACUACGUGCCAGCAGCCGCGGUAAUACGUAGGUGGCAAGCGUUAUCCGGAAUUAUUGGGCGUAAAGCGCGCGUAGGCGGCUUUUUAAGUCUGAUGUGAAAGCCCACGGCUCAACCGUGGAGGGUCAUUGGAAACUGGAAAACUUGAGUGCAGAAGAGGAAAGUGGAAUUCCAUGUGUAGCGGUGAAAUGCGCAGAGAUAUGGAGGAACACCAGUGGCGAAGGCGACUUUCUGGUCUGUAACUGACGCUGAUGUGCGAAAGCGUGGGGAUCAAACAGGAUUAGAUACCCUGGUAGUCCACGCCGUAAACGAUGAGUGCUAAGUGUUAGGGGGUUUCCGCCCCUUAGUGCUGCAGCUAACGCAUUAAGCACUCCGCCCGGGGAGUACGACCGCAAGGUUG